GUCUGUGGCCAUACCACUCUGAACGCACCCGAUCUCGUCUGAUCUUGGAAGCUAAGUACGGUUGGGCCUGGUUAGUACUUGAAUGGGAGACCACAUGGGAAUACCGGGUGCUGUAAGAA
ensembl:rRNA 5S_rRNA 5S ribosomal RNA